rnacentral:rRNA from 1 species
GACGAACGCUGGCGGCGUGCCUAAUACAUGCAAGUAGAACGCUGAAGCGAGGAGCUUACUCUUCUUGGAUGAGUUGCGAACGGGUGAGUAACGCGUAGGUAACCUGCCUUGUAGCGGGGGAUAACUAUUGGAAACGAUAGCUAAUACCGCAUAACAAUGGAUGACACAUGUCAUUUAUUUGAAAGGGGCAAUUGCUCCACUACAAGAUGGACCUGCGUUGUAUUAGCUAGUAGGUGAGGUAAUGGCUCACCUAGGCGACGAUACAUAGCCGACCUGAGGGGGUGAUCGGCCACACUGGGACUGAGACACGGCCCAGACUCCUACGGGAGGCAGCAGUAGGGAAUCUUCGGCAAUGGGGGCAACCCUGACCGAGCAACGCCGCGUGAGUGAAGAAGGUUUUCGGAUCGUAAAGCUCUGUUGUAAGUCAAGAACGGGUGUGAGAGUGGAAAGUUCACACUGUGACGGUAGCUUACCAGAAAGGGACGGCUAACUACGUG